ensembl:miRNA MIR3171 microRNA 3171
UAUAUAUAGAGAUGUAUGGAAUCUGUAUAUAUCUAUAUAUAUGUGUAUAUAUAGAUUCCAUAAAUCUAUAUAUG